ACGAACGCUGGCGGCGUGCCUAAUCCAUGCAAGUCGAACGAACCGCGACUAAGUGCUUGCACUAAGUCAAGGUGAGUGGCGAACGGGUGAGUAACACGUGGGUAACCUACCUCAUAGUGGGGGAUAACAGUCGGAAACGACUGCUAAUACCGCAUAGGACAUAGGAUCACAUGAUCCAGUGAGGAAAGGUGGCGCAAGCUAUCGCUAAGAGAUGGACCCGCGGUGCAUUAGCUAGUUGGUAGGGUAAAGGCCUACCAAGGCGAUGAUGCAUAGCCGACCUGAGAGGGUGAUCGGCCACAUUGGGACUGAGACACGGCCCAAACUCCUACGGGAGGCAGCAGUAGGGAAUCUUCCGCAAUGGACGCAAGUCUGACGGAGCAACGCCGCGUGAGUGAAGAAGGUCUUCGGAUCGUAAAGCUCUGUUGUUAGAGAAGAACAGCGCAUAGAGUAACUGCUAUGCGUGUGACGGUAUCUAACCAGAAAGCCACGGCUAACUACGUG
rnacentral:rRNA from 1 species